CAGCAGCCGCGGUAAUACCAGCUCUUCGAGUGGUGUGGAUGUUUAUUGGGCCUAAAGCAUCCGUAGCUGGCUAGGUUAGUCUCCUGUUAAAUCCACCGAAUUAAUCGUUGGAUUGCGGGGGAUACUGCUUAGCUAGGGGACGAGAGAGGCAGACGGUAUUUCCGGGGUAGGGGUGAAAUCCUAUAAUCCCGGGAAGACCACCAGUGGCGAAGGCUGUCUGCUAGAACGCGCCCGACGGUGAGGGAUGAAAGCUGGGGGAGCGAACCGGAUUAGAUACCCGGGUAGUCCCAGCUGUAAACGGUGCAGACUAGGUGUUUGGACGGCCACGUGCCGUUCUAGUGCCGCAGGGAAGCUGUUAAGUCUGCCGCCUGGGGAGUACGAUCGCAAGAUUGAAACUCAAAGGAAUUGACGG
rnacentral:rRNA from 1 species